rnacentral:rRNA from 1 species
UUGGGAAUCUUCCACAAUGGACGAAAGUCUGAUGGAGCAACGCCGCGUGAGUGAAGAAGGGUUUCGGCUCGUAAAACUCUGUUGUUAAAGAAGAACAUAUCCGAGAGUAACUGUUCAGGUAUUGACGGUAUUUAACCAGAAAGCCACGGCUAAAUACGUGCUAG